GUGGGGAAUAUUGGACAAUGGGCGAAAGCCUGAUCCAGCCAUGCCGCGUGAGUGAUGAAGGCCUUAGGGUUGUAAAGCUCUUUUGUCCGGGAAGAUAAUGACUGUACCGGAAGAAUAAGCCCCGGCUAACUUCGUGCCAGCAGCCGCGGUAAUACGAAGGGGGCUAGCGUUGUUCGGAAUCACUGGGCGUAAAGCGCACGUAGGCGGACCAGUAAGUCAGGGGUGAAAGCCUGGAGCUCAACUCCAGAACUGCCUUUGAUACUGAUGGUCUCGAGUAUGGAAGAGGUUGGUGGAACUGCGAGUGUAGAGGUGAAAUUCGUAGAUAUUCGCAAGAACACCGGUGGCGAAGGCGGCCAACUGGUCCAUUACUGACGCUGAGGUGCGAAAGCGUGGGGAGCAAACAGGAUUAGAUACCCGUGUAGUCC
rnacentral:rRNA from 1 species